AGCUCGUAGGCGGUUUGUCGCGUCUGCUGUGAAAUCUGGGGGCCUUCGCNCNCNAGCCUGCAGUGGGUACGGGCAGACUAGAGUGCGGUAGGGGAGAUUGGAAUUCCUGGUGUAGCGGUGGAAUGCGCAGAUAUCAGGAGGAACACCGAUGGCGAAGGCAGAUCUCUGGGCCGUAACUGACGCUGAGGAGCGAAAGCAUGGGGAGCGAACAGGAUUAGAUACCCUGGUAGUCCAUGCCGUAAACGUUGGGAACUAGAUGUGGGGACCAUUCCACGGUCUCCGUGUCGCAGCUAACGCAUUAAGUUCCCCGCCUGGGGAGUACGGCCGCAAGGCUAAAACUCAAAGGAAUUGACGGGGGCCCGCACAAGCGGCGGAGCAUGCGGAUUAAUUCGAUGCAACGCGAAGAACCUUACCAAGGCUUGACAUAUACCGGAAACGGCCAGAGAUGGUCGCCCCGCAAGGUCGGUAUACAGGUGGUGCAUGGUUGUCGUCAGCUCGUGUCGUGAGAUGUUGGGUUAAGUCCCGCAACGAGCGCAACCCUCGUUCUAUGUUGCCAGCACGUUAUGGUGGGAACUCAUAGGAGACUGCCGGGGUCAACUCGGAGGAAGGUGGGGAUGACGUCAAAUCAUCAUGCCCCUUAUGUCUUGGGCUUCACGCAUGCUACAAUGGCCGGUACAAAGGGCUGCGAUACCGUAAGGUGGAGCGAAUCCCAAAAAGCCGGUCUCAGUUCGGAUUGAGGUCUGCAACUCGACCUCAUGAAGUCGGAGUCGCUAGUAAUCGCAGAUCAGCAACGCUGCGGUGAAUACGUUCCCNGGCCUUGUACACACCGCCCGUCAAGUCAUGAAAGUCGGNUACACCCGAAGCCAGUGGCCUAACCCCUUGUGGGAUGGAGCUGUC
rnacentral:rRNA from 1 species